rnacentral:rRNA from 1 species
GACGAACGCUGGCGGCGUGCCUAAUACAUGCAAGUUGAGCGCUGAAGGUUGGUACUUGUACCGACUGGAUGAGCAGCGAACGGGUGAGUAACGCGUGGGGAAUCUGCCUUUGAGCGGGGGACAACAUUUGGAAACGAAUGCUAAUACCGCAUAAAAACUUUAAACACAAGUUUUAAGUUUGAAAGAUGCAAUUGCAUCACUCAAAGAUGAUCCCGCGUUGUAUUAGCUAGUUGGUGAGGUAAAGGCUCACCAAGGCGAUGAUACAUAGCCGACCUGAGAGGGGGAUCGGCCUCAUUGGGACUGGGACACGGCCCAAACCCCUGCGGGAGGCAGCAGUAGGGAAUCUUCGGCGAUGGACGAAAGUCUGACCGAGCAACGCCGCGUGAGUGAAGAAGGUUUUCGGAUCGUAAAACUCUGUUGGUAGAGAAGAACGUUGGUGAGAGUGGAAAGCUCAUCAAGUGACGGUAACUACCCAGAAAGGGACGGCUAACUACGUG